AGAGUUUGAUCCUGGCUCAGGAUGAACGCUAGCGGUGCGCCUAAUACAUGCAAGUCGAGCGCCCUCACUUUGUCUUCGAAUCUUUCGAGGCCAGGGUGAGGGAGCGGCGAACGGGUGAGUAACACGUUGGAACCUACCCCAGACUCAGGGAUAGCCCGCCGAAAGGUGGAUUAAUACCGGAUAGUCUCGUAAGAGUAAAGCUUUUGCGGUUUGGGAGGGGCCUGCGGCCUAUCAGCUUGUUGGUAGUGUAAAAGACUACCAAGGCUAUGACGGGUAUCUGGUGUGAGAGCAUGACCAGACACAAUGGAACUGAGACACGGUCCAUACUCCUACGGGAGGCAGCAGUAAGGAAUCUUCCGCAAUGGGCGAAAGCCUGACGGAGCGACACCGCGUGGAGGACGAAGGCCUUUUGGUUGUAAACUCCUUUUCUGGGGGAAUAAAUGAUGAAGUACCCCAGAAUAAGCACCGCUAACU
rnacentral:rRNA from 1 species